ensembl:lncRNA
GGAGCCGAUAGCCGCGCGCUCUACUUUUUCUUUCCCUCCAAAGGCGAUGUAGAAGCCGGCAGAGGGACCACACGGCGCGAGGACAUACGACAGAGUCGUCGGCCAACACACCCGCCCUCCAUCUCAGAUCCCAACAGGAGAGCAAGUAAGAGGAUAACGUGAUGCCUCCAGGCCACAGCAGCUGCACCACCCGAUGGACUCUCCAGGCUCUGAAUGAGGACAGGUGAUUGCAUCAUCAGCUUGUCAGCAAGUCCGGUCUAACCAGUAGCCAGUAUGAUAACCUGUUGGUUUGGAUUGGUCCAAGAUUAAAUAUUUCAACUUUUUUUUUUGCAUCUUUUGCGUCUUCUGCGCAACCAUUCACGUCUGUGCGUUGACUUUGCAUGGAAGCUGCUUGCGCUUUUAGUGUGAACGCAGCAUAAGCGCGUUCUACCAAAAAAAACAUUUAGAGAGAAAUGCAAGAUGAGAAUGGAGGAAGCCAAAUGAGCUUAAGUGACGACAGUAUCCUUUUUGUCUGGUUGCCACCAAUGGAACAAAUAAAAGAGACUCCCAGACAGCUGGAACAAUGUGAAACCAUGGAGAGACCCUACAAAUGUAACCGUUCCUUUUAUUGUAUUCAUGAGUUGAAUUGCAGUUAUUGUAGUUAUUUAAGAAACACCGCCUCCGUUCUGGAUGUUUUUUAUUUUCUGGAAAUCCUCGCUGCCUGUAAGUACGAUACACGUGCUUCUCUUCUAGACAAUGGCCGCGUUCACAAUCUCUGGGUUCUCACCUUCAGGAUGUGAUGACAGCCUGUUUUGGCACAGCGAUGCUUCUUGACUGCAAUGCCUCUUGAUUAAAACGCUGAGAGGCGACGCGGGGCGAGUUGCAUGUCUUUGACCUUAAAAAUGCUACAGAAAUGUCGAUAAGACGUCGUUCUUCACACUGAGGAAAAAGUUUAAACAAUAGCACACAUACAAUAGUGUAACAUUAUAUCCUAUCAUUACGCGGGAACAAGCUGCUUAAAUGAGUUCUUCCUUUUCAGACGGAUCAAAACCUCUGAUUAAUCAACUAUAUUUGUCCUCUGCUAUGAUUUUGGACCCGGACAUGGCAAUUGCAUGCGGUAAUUAACAUUAAAGCUCUUCAGCUCAUAUAAUCUUUCUAUUUAUGUUGCAAGUUUCACUCGGAUGGCAUUUUGUGGGGAUGAAAAGGAAAAGGAGGAAGAAGCU